rnacentral:rRNA from 1 species
AGUGAACGCUGGCGGCGUGCCUAAUACAUGCAAGUCGAACGGAGUGGCGCACGGGUGAGUAAUAUAUAGCUAAUCUGCCCCUUGCUGGAGGACAACAGUUAGAAAUGACUGCUACUACUCCAUAGCAAUGGAUGAGACUAUAUCGUAUCAGCUAGUAGGUGGGGUAACGGCCUACCGAGGCUAUGACGCGUAACUGGUCUGAGAGGAUGAUGAGUCACAGUGGACGGUAGACACGGUCCAAACUCCUACGGGAGGCAGCAGUAGGGAAUAGUGCCCAAUGUGGGAAACCCUGACGCAGCAUCGGCGCGUGGAGGAUGACACUUUGCGGAGAGUAAACUCCUUUUGUUAGGGAAGCGGUACCUAACGAAUAAGCACCGGCUAACUCCGUGCCAGCAGCCGCGGUAAUUC